GUCUGGUUUUCUUAAAAUUAGUUUUUUUAACUUUUUUAUGUGUAUAUAUAAAAUUUAUGUAUACGAUCUGUACUACUACUAAUGUAAAUUCCUACUAUUUCAACAAAAUGGACAGAUUAAUACAAUUUUUAUCUGAAGCUAUUCUUGAGUUAACUGAAUGGAGAAUGCUUUUUCCACGAAUGCCGAGGAUGAAUAAUUCAUGGAAUGAGUUUUUUAUCAAUUUUGGUAUAAGUUUGGCUUUUGUUUUAAUCAGGAGAUUUUUGCCUACUUUUCGGAGACCUUGGCGUCCACGUAGAUUGCAACAUGUCAAUUGCCAGCGUAAUUAAUUAAAGAAAAAUAGAGGUUCAAAAGACAUGCUUUGCAGAUGAGCUUGUAUAAUCUACUACUUUUUGUUUAGUUGAUAAAAAUUAUAUUUUUUCUGGAAGCAAUGGAAAGUGAAGCUCUUAUUGAUGAAAAAUUACGUUAAUGAAAAGAUUUUUUUACAAUUCA